rnacentral:rRNA from 1 species
AAGGCGUAGUCGAUGGGAACCAGGUUAAUAUUCCUGGGCCAGGAGAUGGUGACGGAUCGCAGGUGUUGUCAGUCCUUAUCGGAUUGAACUGGCAGCUGAGCGGUUCCUGGAAAUAGCCCUCCACAAGACCGUACCCUAAACCGACACAGGUGGACUGGUAGAGAAUACCAAGGCGCUUGAGAGAACCACAUUUAAGGAACUCGGCAAAAUACCUCCGUAAGUUCGCGAGAAGGAGGCCCGAUUGGCAGGCAACUGUUGGUCGGGGGCACAAAUCAGGGGGUGGCGACUGUUUACUAAAAACACAGGGCUCUGCGAAGUCGUAAGACGACGUAUAGGGUCUGACGCCUGCCCGGUGCCGGAAGGUUAAAAGGAGAUGUGCAAGCAUUGAAUUGAAGCCCCAGUAAACGGCGGCCGUAACUAUAACGGUCCUAAGGUAGCGAAAUUCCUUGUCGGGUAAGUUCCGACCUGCACGAAUGGCGUAACGACUUCCCCGCUGUCUCAAAUGUGGACUCAGCGAAAUUGAAUUGUCUGUGAAGAUGCAGACUUCCCGCGGUUAGACGGAAAGACCCCAUGCACCUUUACUAUAGCUUCGCACUGGCAUCAGGAUUGUGAUGUGCAGGAUAGGUGGUAGGCGCUGAAACCGGGACGCCAGUUCCGGUGGAGCCAUCCUUGAGAUACCACCCUUCGCACUCUUGAUGUCUAACCGCGGUCCGUUAUCCGGAUCCGGGACCCUGCGUGGUGGGUAGUUUGACUGGGGCGGUCGCCUCCCAAAGAGUAACGGAGGCGCGCGAAGGUUGGCUCAGAGCGGUCGGAAAUCGCUCGUUGAGUGCAAUGGCAGAAGCCAGCCUGACUGCAAGACUGACAAGUCGAGCAGAGACGAAAGUCGGCCAUAGUGAUCCGGUGGUCCCGAGUGGAAGGGCCAUCGCUCAACGGAUAAAAGGUACGCUGGGGAUAACAGGCUGAUGAUGCCCAAGAGUCCAUAUCGACGGCAUCGUUUGGCACCUCGAUGUCGACUCAUCACAUCCUGG